CGCGAUUCUCCGUGUCCACGUUUCCUGCUCGCUUCUGGGUCGCAGGGGAUUAGAAGCUGACAAAAAUAUUCUCUUGUCUCCUCGACGAACAGG